ACCCGUUUUUUCAUCUCCUUCUGAAAUUGCCGUCUUCUCCAAUCCCUAAUUUUGCAGCCGUCUAUAUGAGAAUGUAUCUGUAAUGUUAAUCGUCAUUCAAACAUGUCAUAAAGAAUCUUCUUUUAACUCUCUGCUACCGUCUCUCCCACUAAGUUGAUUUUAAUUACUAUUUCCCACCACUACUUAGCAAAUACCUUAAUUCGCACAUCUAUAAAUAAGGGAUGAAGAACUCUCCAAAUCUCAUACUUUCACCGUAUUAUUUAUACUACCCCUUUCAGAAAAGAGCUUCCAAAGAUGGUAACCGCUCCAAUCCUGCUUUCCAUCUGAAGAGUGGCCGUGCCUCUAAGAAGGUUUUGACGAGGCUUUGGGAGGCAGAACGUCAAGAAAUCUGGAGAACUCAUGGGGUUUGACUUGCUCUUGAUUAAUGAAAAAGUCGACGCUGCAACAAGGUUCAAUUCCAUCUCUGUCGACUGUAAUAAUAUGUUUGUGAGGAUGCUUCCACCCGUGAUGAGGAAGAAAUAAAGAGAGAGCCCCUGUGGUGGCUCUGUUCUUUAGCAGAUCAUGACGUCGUUCCAUGUUUCGAUCUUGGUUCUGCUAGCUUAGGAAAAAGGAAAAUCGGGAACAGGGAUUCUUAGAUAUGAGUUGAGUCCAUGUUUAAGAAGAUAAUCGAUCUGGGGAAGCCCCGAUUAGUUUCAAUCCUUACGGCGGGAAUAUGGGGAGAUUAUAAAGUCGCAACACCGUUCCCCUACCGAGAUAAGC